rnacentral:rRNA from 1 species
GACGAACGCUGGCGGCGCGCUUAACACAUGCAAGUCGAGCGAAGCGGCGGACGGGUGAGUAACACGUGAGUAACCUGCCUUAGACAUUGGGAUAGCCUCGGGAAACCGGGAUUAAUACCAAAUGGUCUAAGAUGGACUGGCGUCCCAUUAGCUAGUUGGUGAGGUAACGGCCCACCAAGGCGACGAGAGGUAGCCGGCCGGAGAGGGUGAACGGCCACAUUGGAACUGGGAAACGGUCCAAACUCUCCGGGGGGGAGCAGUGGGGAAUAUUGCACAAGGGAGGGAACUCUGAUGCAGCGACGCAGCGUGAACGAAGAAGGCUUUCGAGUCGUAAAGUUCUUUUAUAUGGGAAGAAGUGCUAAUACCAUUUGCUGACGGUACCUAAAUAAUAAGCACCGGCUAACUACGUGCCAGCAGCCGCGGUAAUUC